UGGACAGAGACAGAUGUGAUGUCUACAGGUCAGUACACAACUGGACAGAGACAGAUGUGAUGUCUACAGGUCAGUACACCACUGGACAGAGACAGAUGUAAUGUCUACAGGUCAGUACACCGCUGGACAGAGAGACAGAUGUGGUGUCUACAGGUCAGUACACCACUGGACAGAGAGAGAUGUGAUGUCUACAGGUCAGUACACCACUGGACAGAGACAGAUGUGGCGUCUACAGGUCAGUACACCACUGGACAGAGAGACAGAUGUGGUGUCUACAGGUCAGUACACCACUGGACAGAGAGACAGAUGUAGUGUCUACAGGUCAGUACACCACUGGACAGAGAGACAGAUGUGGUGUCUACAGGUCAGUACACCACUUGACAGAGAGACAGAUAGAUGUGAUGUCUACAGGUCAGUACACCACUGGACAGAGACAGAUAUGAUGUCUACAGGUCAGUACACCACUGGACAGAGAGACAGAUGUGGUGUCUACAGGUCAGUACACCGCUGGACAGAGAGAGAUGUGAUGUCUACAGGUCAGUACACCACUGGACAGAGAGACAGAUGUGGUGUCUACAGGUCAGUACACCACUGGACAGAGAGAGAUGUGGUGUCUACAGGUCAGUACACCACUGGACAGAGACAGAUGUCACGUCUACAGGUCAGUACACCACUGGACAGAGAGAUGUGAUGUCUACAGGGCAGUACACCACUGGACAGAGACAGAUGUGGUGUCUACAGGUCAGUACACCACUGGACAGAGACAGAUGUGGUGUCUACAGGUCAGUACACCACUGGACAGAGAUACAUGUGGCGUCUACAGGUCAGUACACCACUGGACAGAGACAGAUGUGGUGUCUACAGGUCAGUACACCACUGGACAGAGAGACAGAUGUGGUGUCUACAGGUCAGUACACCACUGGACAGAGACAGAUGUGGUGUCUACAGGUCAGUACACCACUGGACAGAGAGAGAUGUGGUGUCUACAGGUCAGUACACCACUGGACAGAGAGAGAUGUGGUGUCUACAGGUCAGUACACCACUGGACAGAAACAGAUGUGGUGUCUACAGGUCAGUACACCACUGGACAGAGACAGAUGUGUCUACAGGUCAGUACACCACUGGACAGAGACAGAUG
rnacentral:lncRNA from 1 species